rnacentral:rRNA from 1 species
UACGUAGGGACCGAGCGUUGUCCGGAAUCAUUGGGCGUAAAGAGCGUGUAGGCGGCCUUUUAAGUCCUGCGUGAAAUCCUGCGGCUCAACCGCAGACGGUCGUGGGAAACUGGAAGGCUAGAGUGCGGGAGAGGAGAGUGGAAUUCCCGGUGUAGCGGUGAAAUGCGCAGAUAUCGGGAAGAACACCCGUGGCGAAGGCGGCUAGCUCUCGGACGCAACUGACGCUGAGACGCGAAAGCGUGGGAGCAACA